rnacentral:rRNA from 1 species
GACAGAGGGUGCAAGCGUUAUCCGGAUUUAUUGGGCGUAAAACGUUCGUAGGCGGUCUGCUAAGUCUGAGGUAAAAUCGUCUAGCUCAACUAGACAUCGCUUCGGAUACUGGCGGACUAGAGUGUGUCAGGGGUUAUUGGAAUUCCCGGUGUAGUGGUGAAAUACGUAGAUAUCGGGAGGAACUCCAGUGGCGAAAGCGAAUAACUGGGGCAUAACUGACGCUGAGGAACGAAAGCGUGGGGAGCAAAAA